rnacentral:rRNA from 1 species
GACGAACGCUGGCUGCGUGCUUAACACAUGCAAGUCGAACGGAAAGGCCCUGCUUUUGUGGGGUGCUCGAGUGGCGAACGGGUGAGUAACACGUGAGUAACCUGCCCUUGACUUUGGGAUAACUUCAGGAAACUGGGGCUAAUACCGGAUAGGAGCUCCUGCUGCAUGGUGGGGGUUGGAAAGUUUCGGCGGUUGGGGAUGGACUCGCGGCUUAUCAGCUUGUUGGUGGGGUAGUGGCUUACCAAGGCUUUGACGGGUAGCCGGCCUGAGAGGGUGACCGGCCACAUUGGGACUGAGAUACGGCCCAGACUCCUACGGGAGGCAGCAGUGGGGAAUAUUGCACAAUGGGCGGAAGCCUGAUGCAGCAACGCCGCGUGCGGGAUGACGGCCUUCGGGUUGUAAACCGCUUUCGCCUGUGACGAAGCGUGAGUGACGGUAAUGGGUAAAGAAGCACCGGCUAACUACGUG